rnacentral:lncRNA from 1 species
UUCUCAGUGGUUAAAACACUUUAAGAGGUCACACUUCCCAGUGUCUGCUACUUGGAAGAACUUGGGAGGAAUUAAGGGCAGGACAGAGGGGAAACGGAUCAGGCUCAGUCUCUUGUUCCUUUAUUCUUCCAUCCCAGGUGCUCUAAGUCACUGAGGUAGCCCAAGUUCACUAUCCAUCCCCGUCCCCUUCCUCCCGUGGACACAGGACACGAAGUGCCAUGUUUCCACGGCUCUUAGUCUUCGGAACUCAGCCAACCCUGGAGGCCUGCCGACUAACACCCUGAGUCCGUGUCCGGAGAAGGUGGUGCGUUUUACUCUCACUUCAAUAUCGCCCUCCGAUUUCACACUUCUGACACCAGUUUUUCCGUCUUAAAGUGAGAAUGAUUUGUGACUUACAGUUGAGAAGCUCUCAUCCACAUAUUCUCCUGUGUGGUUGUCUACCUGGGAGGAGGAAAAACAAGAAGGGGGACGGGGGCAUCUCUCUCCUCUGAAGUAAAAAGGUGAGAUUCUCCAGUAAAUAAAUGACUCCAAACAAACUAACAAGUCAGAAUGAGCAGAUUAUUCUUUCCUCUUCAGCCAUGCAGGUAAGUUGCAAGUAAAAUGCAGAUAGAGAUUUUAAUGUAGGGUUUCUGUCUUUCCUAGUGGGCUGGUUAUAGAAUAAAAAGGGAGUAUUUGUUUUGCUGCAUCAAAACAUCCUUCCUGCUAGUUGUUUUCUUUUAAAUGGGCAUAUCAGGAAAUGAUCUGUUCUCCACAUGAAAUUAAUAAGGAUGUGGGGCAGCUAUAGACUG